UACGUAGGGGGCAAGCGUUGUCCGGAUUUAUUGGGCGGAAAGAGCGUGUAGGCGGCCAUACAGGUCAGCUGUGAAAACUCGAGGCUCAACCUCGAGACGUCGGUUGAAACCGUAUGGCUAGAGUCCGGAAGAGGAGAGUGGAAUUCCCGGUGUAGCGGUGAAAUGCGCAGAUAUCGGGAAGAACACCCGUGGCGAAGGCGGCUCUCUGGGACGGUACUGACGCUGAGACGCGAAAGCGUGGGGAGCGAACAGG
rnacentral:rRNA from 1 species